GACGGAGGAUGCAAGUGUUAUCCGGAAUCACUGGGCGUAAAGCGUCUGUAGGUGGUUUAAAAAGUCCACUGUUAAAAAUUGAAGCUUAACUUCAAAGAUGCCGUGGAAACUUUUAAACUUGAGUAUGAUAGGGGUAGAGGGAAUUUCCAGUGGAGCGGUGAAAUGCGUAGAUAUUGGAAAGACCACCAAUGGCGAAGGCAACUCUACUGGGCCAUUACUGACACUGAGAGACGAAAGCUAGGGGAGCGAAUGGG
rnacentral:rRNA from 1 species